rnacentral:lncRNA from 1 species
CAAGAUGUAUCCGACAAGAAAUCAACAACUGCAUAAAUUAUGUUGUUUUUGCAACACUCUUUGCGGUUACUUCUACGGCAUUAUUUGUUCUUAUUUUGAAGAAAAUAAUAAUGAAAACACGUUUCUCAGUCAGGCAGACCGUGGAAUCUAUGAUUCGAAGUCGCUUUCAAAAUUCACAAACCGAAGAUACGGACACUUGUGGAAACACGGACUACAUGAAUCUUCGAAUUCAAGCAUCAUGAUAUGUCUUUCUCGUUUCGUAACUGUUUUCAACACCUACCAAGAAAACGGACUUGCAUAUUCGUAACAUUUAUUGGUUUUAGUUCUUGAUACCUAUUUUAAAGAUAUUUACUCUUAAAGGAUUUUAUAAUUGUAAGUGAUAUUUGGCAUUUUCACAAACGGUUUCUAUGAAUUAUUCUAGUGGUAUUACAUUUGGUUCUACAUGUGUAUAUUCAAAAGCUAUUAUUGAAUUGCUGUUAUGUACUUCAACAGUGUAACAGACUCGAUCGAGACCGGAUAAUAAUUACGAUUUAAUUAAGGUACUGAAUCUAGCAAGAUGCUUUAUAUUUAUGCUUUGAAUCUAUGUAAUAUAUGUAAACUAUUUUUUUGGUAUUUUGUCAUUAAUCUAAUAUUUUUGUACGGAAAGUUAUUACUAUUCUAAAUCAUUGUGUAAAUAAUAUCUAUGUCAUAUCGUUUGUACUAUGCACGAGCACUAAUGUACUGCCUUUACAUAACA